rnacentral:tRNA from 1 species
GCUCUUGAAGCUUUAAGAAGCUUUGGUCUUGUAAACCAAAAGAUGGGCUUAUAAGCCCCAAGCGCU